AAAGGCAUAGAACUCAUAGAAGCAGAGUAGAAUGGUUGCCAGGGGCUUAGGGGUGGAGGAAGUAGGGAGAUGUUGGUCAAAGGGUAUAAACUUUCAGCUAUACAAUGAUUAAGUUCCAGGGACCUAAUGCACAGCAUGGUGACUAUAGUUGAUAAUACUGUAUUGUGUAUUUGAAAGUUGCUAUGAGAAUGUUGCUUUCACCUUCUCACUAUAAUGACAACAAAAUAGCAAUUAUACCAGGCGAAGGAUGUUACCUAACCUUAUUAUGGUAAACAUUUCAGAUAUAUACAGGUAUCAAAUCAUCACACUGAACAUCUUAAACUUACACAGUGUUAUAUAUUGAGUAUAUCUCAAUAAAGUUAAGAAAACAGAAAACAAAAUCUAUGGGCUUUUGCCAUUUUACCAUCCCACCUUUUCUCUGGCACCUAAAGGUGGUAUAUUAAUUUGAUUCAUGUUUUCAUAAUUUAUAUGAAAUAUAUAUAUAUUUCAUUAAUUUGAAUCAAAUAUAUUAAUUUGAUUCAUGUUUAUCAGAAAGGACUUCUCAUUUCCUGUACCACCAUUUAAAAUUGUAGAUUGCAGGAUUUGGGGCUACGAUUGAUUAUCCAUGUUUUAUUUCUGUUUUUGCAGCACAUAGACUCAGAUCUAUGCUGUGUCCAACAAUUUCUCAGGAUUAUGAUAAGAAUUACAAUUCUAUUAGCAUCACCCAAAAAGAAUAUGAUUCUUAAGAAGAAACUUGACCUCUCAGGGGGAGAGUUGUUCUUCCUUAAGAAUACUGGUGAAAACACAUUAACAUCUGAAAAGAUGAAGUGUAUUAACUCUGCUUCGACUACUGUGGCAGGAAUAUUUCAUUGCACAGUAUUUCCUGAAUUUGUAGAAGCAUUUUUCAGGCUUCUGGACUCACUUUAGUAAUGGAGGCACCUUGAUUCAUCUCAAGCAUAUGGCCCUGAAAAAUGACACUGUUGUUCCUAACUGCUGAAAUGAGACUUUCUCCUGAGUGUUAACCGUGGAAGAGGUCUGAACUCGUUUCUGAGGCUUCAUUAAUCACAAUUUGUUCACCUCAUCUCACUGCUCGCCACAGGCAGACUGAACUGCUGUCUGCCUUCUGCUGCUCUACAACACACACUGUGUCCCUUGGCACAUCCUGGACCCCAACUCGUCUAGGUGCAUCGCACUCUGGGGACAAAUGAGUCAGGGCACCAGGGAUAACGGAGAGUUGUAGCUGGAGAUUCAUGUUGCCCGAUGACCUUGAUCCCAAGUGUGCAACUUCCCCCAAAAGGUCAAUAGUUAACACCAUGUCCAUUACCCAGAAAGAUAUUAAAAAUCAGAGAUAACAGUCAUCCUAGCUUUGUCAUAAACCUUAAUAACAGAAAUGCCUAAUGGGGCUCGGGGUACUCCCCUUCAGAGAAAAAACAUGGAAAUGAAGUGAAUCCAGAAAAGGGGGAAAAAAAAAACCUGACAAUAUAAGUAUGCUGUCAAGCCACGCUUCUAAAACACAUUCCAGAAUGCACUGGUCCUUUGAGAGGCUGUAUGGAAAAUAAUCCCAAAUCAAAUACAUUUGGAACCCUGUGGAUCAUGUUCCUUUUUUGACUAUUUAUAAUGUAUUUCAGUUCAUUAAAGGUGUCAAGCUCUUUAAUAAAAAUUACUCUUGUUCUAUG